ACCGGAGCCCCUGCACGACUUCACAUCCUCAGUACACCCGUUCUGCACCCCUUUCCCACCGCCUGCACCCCUCCUGCAUCCCUCCUGCAUCCCUCCUGCAUCCCAGCUCUGCAUCCCUCCUGCAUCCCUCCUGCACCCCUCCUGCAUCCCCGUUCCCAAACCCUGCAUCUCCCCAGCAGCAGAGGGAUCUCCCUGCUCCCCUCCUGCUCCUCGCUCCCCUCGCCAUAAAGAGCCUGUGCCCCCCCUGCCCGCGCCCACCCCACGGGAGGGAAUUUUCCCCUCGGAGGGAUUGUUCUCUCUGAGGACACGCAGGUACACGUUUCUGACGGGGAUUGCAGCCAUGGCCACAGCAGGGACACCCAGCCCCCCCAGCAUCCCUCUUCACACCAACCGCCUGAUUAACGAGAAGUCCCCAUACCUCCUGCAGCACGCCCACAACCCUGUGGAUUGGUACCCUUGGGGUCAGGAAGCCUUUGAUAAAGCAAAGACAGAAAAUAAGCUGAUAUUCCUGUCAGUUGGCUACUCCACCUGCCACUGGUGCCAUGUCAUGGAGGA